rnacentral:rRNA from 1 species
UACAGAGGGGGCAAGCGUUGUUCGGAAUUACUGGGCGUAAGGGGCGCGCAGGCGGCCUGCUAAGUCGAACGUGAAAUCCCUGGGCUCAACCCAGGAACUGCGUCCGAUACUGGUUGGCUUGAAUCCGGGAGAGGGAUGUGGAAUUCCAGGUGUAGCGGUGAAAUGCGUAGAUAUCUGGAGGAACACCGGUGGCGAAGGCGACAUCCUGGACCGGUAUUGACGCUGAGGCGCGAAAGCCAGGGGAGCAAACGGG